GUCCCCAUCACACUGAAUACACCGAUUCUCACCCGAUCACUAAAGUUAAGCAGCAUCGGGUGCGGUCAGUACUUGGAUGUACGACAGCCUGGGAACGCAGCGUGAU